rnacentral:rRNA from 1 species
CAGCAGCCGCGGUAAAACGGAGGGUGCAAGCGUUAAUCGGAAUUACUGGGCGUAAAGCGCACGCAGGCGGUUUGUUAAGUCAGAUGUGAAAUCCCCGAGCUUAACUUGGGAACUGCAUUUGAAACUGGCAAGCUAGAGUCUUGUAGAGGGGGGUAGAAUUCCUGGUGUAGCGGUGAAAUGCGUAGAGAUCUGGAGGAAUACCGGUGGCGAAGGCGGCCCCCUGGACGAAGACUGACGCUCAGGUACGAAAGCGUGGGGAGCAAACAGGAUUAGAUACCCCUGUAGUCCCUGUCUCUUAUAC